rnacentral:misc_RNA from 1 species
GAUGAAGAACGUAGCGAAAUGCGAUAAGUAAUGUGAAUUGCAGAAUUCAGUGAAUCAUCGAAUCUUUGAACGCAUCUUGCGCUCCUUGGUAUUCCGAGGAGCAUGCCUGUUUGAGUGUCAUUAAAGUUCUCAACCACGUGCUUACAUAUGUGGCUUGGAUGUGGGGGUUUGCAGGCUUUCUCUGAGGGUCUGCUCCUCUGAAAUGCAUUAGUGGUAUUCCUGAGCUUUACUACAGAUGUGAUAAUUUAUCUACAUCCCAAAAGUAUGCUUCAACAACACCGCUCCUAACAAGCGAAAGCACAUUUCGAUGAAUUUGACCUCAAAUCAGGUAGGACUACCCGCUGAACUUAAGCAUAUCAAUAAGCGGAGGA